rnacentral:lncRNA from 1 species
GGGUGGUGACUUGUGGUAGUAGACUGGUGGUUGGGGUGAUGGAGAAGGUAGUGGUGGGGAUUUGUAGAGGUAUGGUGGAAGAGGAGAUGGAGAUGGAGGAGGUGAGGACUUGUAAUAGGAUGGAGAAGGUGGUGGUGGUGAUUUGUAGUAGUAAGGAGGAGGUGGGGAAGGAGAUGGUAGAGGUGGGGACUUAUAGUAAUAAGGAGGUUGAGGAGAUGGUGAUGGAGGAGGAGGUAAUUUAUAGUCGUAGUGAGGAGGGGGUGAUGGUGAAGGUAGUGGUGGUGACUUGUAGUAAUACCACGGAGGAAGAGAUGGAGAUGGAGCCAGAGGUGACAGCGGUGGUAGUGAUUUGUAGUAAUAAGGAGGCAGUGAUGAUGGAAAAGGUGGGAGCGGUGGCAGUGAUUUAUGGUAAUAAGGAGGUAGUGAUGAUGGAAAAGGUGGGAGCGGUGGCCGUGAUUUAUAGUAAUAAGGAGGUAGUGAUGAUGGAAAAGGUGGGGAUGCAAAAGUAUUAGGAUUGUAAGGCUCGUCUUCAGCAGCUACAUUAGCGGCAAUCAAGCACAAAGCCAAGACACAAAUCAGGUGAGGCCAAAAAUUGGCCAUUUCCAGAACACGAGAAAAUUUCACUCCUACAACUCAAGAACUUCUAUUUCUUAGAACAGAAGGGAUUUUGUGAAUGAUGCUUCAAGGUAGAGGCUCAGAGUUUAUAUAGUCAUCCUUUCCAUAAUUCUUUCAUUUGUUUAAUUAGUAGUUGUUGAAGCCUCCAAUCUUUAACAAGUCUACAACUAAAUGGUAUUCCCCUAUUUUCUAUGUGUUACCUGCACAUCUGUCCAUGAAAAGUCAAGAAGAUUAGUAAACAUAUAUAUACAAGAGUGCAUUUCAGUUUUGGUUGUUGGGAGCCUAGAAGCUUCCCCAUAUAUUAUGUCAAAUGUGACUGCCAUCUUUAAGAAUUUACCAUGGAAAACUCAACAUAAAAUAUUACUAUGAAGCAUGUCUACCAAGCAAAAAGCUAGGGCUAUUAGAUCUCCUUCUACCAUAACUUCCUGUUUUUCGAAAAUUUGUCAUACAUUGAAACCUUUUUCAAAACAACAAAAAGAUUUAAUAUUGCAAAUAAUUUACGGGCAUUAAUUAGGAAGGUAAUGCACUAAUAAACCUAAAAUCAAUGCCAAUUUUUCUAGAAAGGCAUCGUUGUCUUUCAAUAACUUCUUAAGCUAGCUAUUUAAUAUUAUAGGACGACUAGGUCUAUGAAUGAGAUCAUCAUAUGCAUUUUCAAUAACAAGUAAUGGACCCUUGUUUUUCCAUUGGAUUUGAGUAACGAUGAAAGUUCUUUAGGAAAAGGAAAGAAACAUAAUUAAUCUCUUAAAUUUCUUCUUCAUGCAUGUUGCUAGAUAAAGGAUUGAUGGGGCAAGCAACAAAGGGAGAUUAUUUAAAGAGAUUUUGUAAUAACUACUUUGGAAUUGGGAGUUGUAGAAAGUGGAAGAGAAAAUGUUCAAGGAAUAGUUCAUUCCUCAAAUGUUCAUCCAUUCCUUUGUAUAGGGUUUUGCCUUUAAAUAUCAACAAAACUGCUCAAGGUGUAUUUGAUAGUAAUUUUAGAAAGUAUUUUUAACCUUUAUAAUACUUAAAAAAAAAAAAAAUUGUUAAGUGUCAAAAAUAUUAAAAACACAUCUUAAAAUCACUACUAAACGGACUCUUAAAAGUUCAUAUGAAAUUAAUCAAAUUAGAUAAGGACAGGUUCUAACCUGUGGACAUAUAUGUAGAACUAAGGUCUUAGAACCGGUGAUGAUGAGAUUGCAAUCACAACUCACAACCAAAUAUCAUACAUACUUGAAAGAAACAAAUUGGAAGGAAAUCUAUUUCAAUAUGAAUUAUAAAGUGUUUUUGUGGUUAAUAUAAAAAAUAAUGACACUACAUGCAACUUACAUAUGUACUUGCUUUAUAUGCUAACGACAUUAUUUAUAUGCUAGAUAUUAACUAGACACCAUCAAUCAAGUCUAUAUAUAUAUAUAUAUUAUUAUUUAUAUCUUUAUACUUUGAUCUCAUUUGUUUAUUUCUUCGUUCAACAACACAAAUCUCAUCAUGCAUGUUUAAUGAUCCGGAUUUAGAGCUCAAUAGAUAUCACUAGGGUAGCUUAGGAUUUUCUUACCUAAAAUUACUAUAAGAAGUACUCAAGGAAAAAGAAAAUGAAUGAUCUAAAAGUGGAUCCCUUGCAACACUUCAAGGAGUCGAGAUUUGUACUUGGUUGGGCUUGGAAUUCUAAUAAUCCUAGUUGGCUGGGCACUUGGCUUUCUAAUAAUUCUAGUUGUCGCAUUAACGGAAACUGUUUGUAACUCAACAGUAUGGACAAUUGAAAUGUUUAUGGAGUAUUGUUAAUCAAAGCUGCCAUGGGAAAAUCUUUUGUUUGAAGCCCUUCACUGGAAUAUUCAAUAAAUAUAGCUAGCGCCACUUUCCCUCAGAAAUAAUUCCCCCCAAUACCUUAAAUGGUAUGCUUAAUUUCUUAUUCACUUUUACACACCUAUUCAUCUUAAUUACCAAAUGCACCCACUUUCUGUUUUUUUUUUCUUUUAACUCAUUAAUGUUUUAAAAAAAAUUGGUAUUAAUCAAAUAUUAAUUUUAAAAUUUUUAAUUAUUUUAAAAAAUUAUCAUAUCGGUUAAGAAAUUUAAUGCAUUAGCUCUCACUUGAUUUGAAAUAUGUUUGUCUAAUGAUAGAACUUGAAAAUUAUAUAGUUACACGCACAUAAAAAAUUGGCCAAGCCAUUGUAGACCGGUUUUGUUCCAACAAAUUCUAGUAUUAAUUGGCUCGAAUCAAGUUCUAAAUGAUUUUUAAAAUUUAUUAAACUUAUUAAGGAAUCCAAUGCAUCAAAUUGGAUUUAGAAGAUGACACAUCUCAAAGCAAAACAAUAGGGAAAGGUAUAAUAAAUCACAAAUUCAAUGUUAUAAAUAUCAAAAAUUAAACUGGAAUAAUCUCAAAUGACAAAAAUUAAGAAGAUUCUAUAGAUAAGGAAAUAAAAGCAAUAACAAAACAUAAUACAUUGAAACUAAAAUCCUUUCCAAAAGAGAAAAAGGCAAUUGGAGGAAAAUGGGUAAACAAUGAGUCAAAUCCUAUUUUUUGAAAACAACCAAAGGUUUAUAAAAUAAUAAUAAAUAAAUAAAUAAAAUGAAAUAAAAUAAAAUAAAUAAGAUCUCCUUUAAGACUAAAUGAUUCCAUUGAAUUGAGUAUGAUUGUGUGUGUGAUAGCAUCAACAGUACUAAGAAUAUCAAUGACCUUUUGGCAACCAACCUUCAAAAUAUAAAGGGGAAAGAUGUGCAAAGAAGAAUGUAAAAGGAGAAAUAUUAGAGAGACACAAAGUAAGAUUAGUGGUUAAGGGUUACAAGCAUCAACUUGUAAACAACAAAUUAGCAAUUGCACUAUCAAAAAAUCCAAUUUUAUAUGUUUGAAACAAGAUAUCAAUACAAAAUAUCAUUUUAUUAGAGAGUGCAUAAUGAAGAAGAAAGUAUAAUUAAAUUUGCAAAAUCUCAAGAUUAAAUUGCAAAUAUUUUUACCAAACCUCUCAAGUUUAAAAAUUUUAGAAAGUUAAGUAUAUUACUUGGAGUUACAAAUAAAGUUUAAGGGGGAUAUUGGAAAGUUAAACUUGAUUUAGAAAGUUUCCAAAACUUAGAACUAGAUUUAGUCUCCACAAUUCAAAGAUAAUAUUUUAUUUUCAAUGGUUGUUUAUAUUUGAGUAGUCAAGUCCUAGAAGGUUAAUUUCUAUAUUUUGUUAUUAGAAUUUUCUAUUUUGUUAAGUGUAAAUAUCUAUAAAUAAGAUUUUAUGUAAUAUUUGAAUAAGAAAGUGUGAAGAUGAAUCUCACCUAUGGAUAACAGCUAGAGGGGGCUAAAUAGAUGUUUUUUAAAACAACUUAAGAUGGUAUCUCACAAAUGCUUACAAAUCCCUUAUUUUUCUCAAAUGUUUUGGUUUGUUUUUUUUUAUCUUAUUAAAAAAAAAACAAAUCAUAAGUAAUAAUGGAUGCAUCAACACUCUCUCAUUAAGUGAGUCAAUGCAAAUCACAUACAAAUGAAUCAACACUCCUCAACUAUAAUGUAUAAGACAUUAUAUGCAUCGACACAAAUCCCAUUUUCGCAUGUCCCAUGACAUUAAUAUCAAAAACUGAAAUAUACCAUAUUCUAUCAAAGCUUCAAUGGUUUAAUUUAAGCUCAUAUCUCAAUUAAACAACAAAAUAAUUCAAUAGAAAUAUCAUAAGCUAAUGAAAAACUAAUUAAAAGAUGAGGUAGAAUAGACAUAUAAGGGAAGCAGCCUAAAAUCAUGCCUAUCAUUCAAUUCUAUAUUCUGUCAUAUAGCUGUAUAUUGUAACAGUAGCAUAGAUUUAGCCUUACCGUUUCUAAAUUUGAAUCAUAUAGUUGUAUAUUGUAACGGUAGCAUCCUUAUCGUGUAUAUGUUUCUUAAACUAGCUUCUUAAUCACUUUAUAUAAUAGAGUUUCCAUCAAUAAAAUGAGUUGGAAAUUCUUCAUUGAAACUACGACAAUAUUUUUUUCUUUAUAUGGUAUCAGAGCACUGAUCUCAAAUGAGCCAUCGAUCCAAGUUAUCACCAUGCCUUCCUCCUCUGAUCAAACUCCAAACUUUAAUCUCAAUACUCAACUUCCAUCUGCAGUCGAUAAACCCCUAAUUGCUCUCAAUAUCACAACCCAAAUCAAUGAAAAAUUAACUCCCUCCACAUUUUCUCAAUGGUGUGCUCAAUUUGAAGCACUCAUUAUUGGUUACGAUUUACUCAACUAUGUUGAAGGCACCAUUCGGUGCCCUUCCUCUACUGCUACUCCUACUGAUGAGUUGCACAAAACCCAUUGGGUCCGAUAGGAUAAACUUAUCUUGAGUGCUAUUCUAGCCUCCACAUCUUCUUCAAUCACACCACUCAUUGCUACGUCAAAGACCUCCCAUGAAGCUUGGAAAAAAUUAAAACCUCUAUAUGCUACCCGAUCAAGAACACAUGCUAUGCAAUUAAAGGAGGAACUCACCUUAAUCCAGCGAGGAGAUCGGUCGAUUAUAGAAUGCAUCCAUCCUCUAAAGUCCUUGGCCAAUGAAAUAACCAUUAUUGAUCAUUCAAUUUCGGAUGAUGACCUAACCCUUUGUGUGUUGAAUGGCUUAGGUCUAGAUUUUCGAGAGAUUGUUGUGCAUAUCUGAGCUCGAGAAUCAUCACUGGCUUUUGAGGAGUUGCAUGAUCUUUUGGUUGGACACGAGGCAUACUUAUGACGCAUAGGAGUUGCGAUGCAGAACCUAGUUGCUUCUGCAAAUUUCAUAAAGAUGACGAAGUAGUCUCCACAAUGAGGAAGUCACCCGUGGUCUUUCAAGCAAACUAGCUUUCACCAUGAGCCUCGAGGUUCUCAACAAAGCUGCAACUCAAAUGGAGCCCAACGUGAUGGAUGUCGCUCCAACAAUAACUCUAGGCGACCCAACAACUCCAAUUGGUGUUACCAGCCCAAAUGUCAAAUUUAUGACCAAUUGGGCCACACUGCAAAGUUCUGUCCUCAACUCCAUUCAUAGAAUGCCUCCAUCAAUUGUGCUGCAAUCUCUACUGGCAAGGACAAAAAUUGGUUACUUGAUUCGACUAUUUCUCAUAAUAUCACGGGUGAUCUUUCCAACUUAUCUAUUCACUCCGAAUAUGAUGGAAUUGACAAAGUAAUUCUCAGUAAUGGUUCAAGUUUGGUUGUCUCACACAUCGGUUUUUUGGAUUUACACUCCCCUCAUCGAAAUUUUACAUUGCAUGAUACUCUUUGUGUUCCAAAUCUUUGCAGAAAUUUAAUUUCCGUUCAUCAUCUCACCAAACAAAACAAUGUCUUGGUUGAAUUUCACCAUUUUCAUUUUCUUGUGAAGAACAAGAUCACGGGGGCAAUCCUACUAAGAAGAGCAUGUAACAAUGGCAUCUACACUUUUCCGACAUCAAUGGUGGCAUAAAAAAAUAUUGCUAAUGUGCAUGAACACAGAUGGAUGGCACAAGCGUCUUGGGAUUCCUUCUACUAAAAUUGCCCAUCAUCUUGUCAAUAAAUUUUCUCUUCCUAUGUCCUUGAACAAAAAGUUUAUCUUCAUUAUGUUCUUCAUGUUCUAUUAAUAAAGCACAUCAACAACCACUUUGUGUCACUAGUCUCCAAAGUCAUGAGCCACUUGACCUUAUUUACACGGAUGUGUGGGGUCCCGCUAGUUAUACUGGAAUUGAUGGAUCACGAUAUUACCUUAUUUUUGUUGAUCAUUAUACAAAAUAUAUAUGAUUUUAUCCAAUGGUCACAAAAUCCAAUGUUUCUAAUAUUUUCCCGCAUUUCAAAAAGUUUGUUGAAACUUGUUUUUAAAAAUCUAUUAAAACACUUUACUUCAAAAAUGGUGGUGAGUUUAUCGCUUUAAAAUCUUAUUUAUUACUUCAUGGCAUAACUCACUACACCACUGCUCCACACACUCAACAACAAAAUGGUGUCUUUGAACGUUAUCACUGUCAUCUCGUUGAAACGAACCUUACACUUCUUCAUGAUGCAAAUCUUGCUUUCUCAUAUUGGCCCUAUGCUUUUCAAACAACUUCUUAUCUCAUAAAUAAACAACCAAUGCCUUUCCUCCAAGAAAAAAAUACCUUUUGAAGCCCUUUUUGGUCAACCACCCAAUUACUUGAAAUUAAAAAAAUUUGGGUGCAUUUGUUAGCCCCUCACACGAGCCUAUAAUUCAAAUAAAAUGCAGCCCAAAUCCAAAGUCUGCAUUUUUCUCGGUUAUUCACCAACCCAAAACGCAUACAAGUGUUUUGAACCUCAAACAAAAAAUUCUUUCUCUCACGGCAUGUGUUAUUUGAUGAAAAUCUAACAUAUUCCAGUCUAUCCUAAACUGCGUCUUCCAUAACAACCCAACCCACUCGAGAAUCUCACAUUUUUUUUCAUUUUUUCUUCUUCAAUUCUCAGCAGGCUGUCGUGUCUCCAUCACAGUUGUCCGGUACACCUAUCUCAUCGUUGUCUCCGGAAGGUCCGCCUACCAUUGUUGCGUCUUCCUUAGGUGAUUUCGGACCCUCUGCUCCUUUCUUUCAUGAUUGCUUGCAAACCCUAGAUCACAACACCACCCACUUGAAUUUUCCUUUACAUGACACUCAGACUGGUCCUUCUUUAAAUUUGCAAUCACGCUCUCAUGAUCAGCAUCUAGGUCUAGCUAAUACUUCCAAUUUUCCAACCCCUACCGAAACCAAUAAUUUUCCCCAACGCACUCAUACCAUGACCAUAAGAUCAAUGUACCAAAUCUUCAAACCCAAACAACUCCACACUGUGUCAAAAUAUCCUCUCUCCUCGACCAUUGAACCAACCAAUGUGAGCCAAGCCAUUUCUCAACCUCAUUGGCGUGAGGUCAUGUCUAAUGAGCUUACUGCUCUAAUGAAACAUAGGACUUGGGACAUAGUUUUACCACCUUCAAACUGUAAACCCGUGGGUUGUAAAUGGGUAUUUUGAGUAAAAAGAAAAGCUGAUGGGUCAGUGGACAGGUUCAAAGUCUGUCUAGUUGCUAAGGGCUAUAAUCAACGUCUUGGUGUUGAUUACAAAGACACUUUUAGUCUUGUCAUCAAACCAACAACUAUUAGAUUUGUCCUAUCUAUUGUAGUCAUGAAUGGAUGGGUUUUGAGGCAACUGAAUAUCAACAAUGCUUUUCUAAAUGGUGAAUUAUCUGAGACUGUGUUUAUGGCAUAACCCCCAGGGUUCAAAGAUUUGUCCAAACCUAAUCAUGUUUGCAAGUUAAAAAAAUGCCAUCUAUGGGCUUAAAUAAGCCCCGCGAGCUUGGUACACAAUGCUAAAAAAUGCCAUUCUUCAGUUGGGUUUUCAUAAUUCCAAAGUGGAUUCCUCUCUCUUCAUUUACAACCAUGGUUCCAAUCUUUAUUAUUUCUACAGGGAAUAAUUUCAUACUUAUGGCCACUAUUAUGAAGCAGCUGGGUGACAUGUUUUCUCUCAAAGAUAUGGGUUCUCUUCAUUUUUUCUUAGGAAUUGAAGUAAUUCCUACUCGGGCAGGAUUAUUCCUCUCACAACAUAAAUAUGUUCAUGAACUUUUAGCCCACACCAGUAUGAGUAGUGCAAAAGAUGUCUCCAUACCUCUCUCUACCACUCAAUCUCUUCAACUGGUUGAUGGCAUUGUUGCUGUGGACAACUCAGAGUUCUGUAAAAUCAUUGGCAGCCUUCAAUACCUUUCUUUGACGCAUCCAGAUAUCUCAUUUGCAGUAAAAAAAACUCUCGCAAUUUAUGCACAAGCCGACUACAAAUCACUGGACAGAAACCAAACGACUCAUUCGAUACUUAAAACAAACCAUUUUUUUAUGGUAUUCAAAUCAACAAAGCUGGAACUCCAGUAUUAAGAACAUACUCAGAUGUAGAUUGGGCUGGAAAUGUGGACGACUGCACGUCCACCUCUGCUUCUAUCAAUUUUUUGGGAUCUAACCAAAUUUCUUGGAGCUCAAAGAAACAAAGAGCAGUUGCAAGAUCCUCAAUAGAAGUUGAAUACCGAGACUAGCAACUGCGGCUUCCGAGACAAUGUGGAUGUCUACUCUCUUCAAAGAACUAGCAUUUCCAAUCAAAGAAUCUCCCCAAUUGUUAUGUGACAACCUUGGAGCCACACAUCUCAGUUUUAACUCGGUUAAUCAUUCACGCAUGAAACACAUUCAAAUUGACCUUCACUUUGUGCGUGACUUAGUGCAAAAAGGAAGCAUCCAAGUCAGCCAUGUACAUACUCAAGACCAAUUAGCUUAUCUGUUAGCAAAGUCGUUGUCCAAACAACGCACAGAAUUGUUACGCAACAACAUUGUCCUUACCGAUGGAAGCCCUAUCUUGCAGGGGUGUAUAAGGGAAACAUCCUAAAAUCAUGCCUAUCAUUCAAUUCUAUAUUCUGUCAUAUAGUUGUAUAUUGUAACAGUAGCAUCCUUACCGUGUAUAAGUUUCCUAAACUAGCUUCUCAAUCACUCUAUAUAACAGAGUUUCUAUCAAUAAAAUGAGUGGGAAAUUCUUCAUUGAAACUACGACAAUAUUUGUUUCUCUAUAAGAGAAACGGUGACACCAAUAUUUUAGCAUGGAAAACCUAAAAAAAGGAGAAAAAACCAUAGACCUCUAGCGAUCAAAUCAUUCACCAUGAAGAAAAUUAACUAAGUACAAGGAUUUACCUAACCCAAACUUUCAAUCCUCUCUUGGUCCACUUGCCUAAAAUCUUCAGACUUUAGCAACCCACUUUCUUCUUCUAGAACACACUUCAAAUCCAUACUAAGUUUGAUCUUGACCUCUUCUUAAAUCCACAUAAGAAGAUAUUUGAGUUUUUACCCCAAAUAAGAUGAAUAUAAGCGUAAAGAUGAAACUCACACUGAAUCAACCUAUUUUGAAAGAAAUUUUUUCACUUAAAAAUGAAUUUCAACUCAAACCCAUAAAAUUUUCAUUCAAACCAAACACCUCAAAAACAGGUAAAAGAAUAUGAAGCUCAAGAGAGGCCACCUAUCUCUUUCAGCCCGCCCUUCCUCUUAUAGAAAUAGAGCUUAAAUAUUAGGGUUUUAAAACCCAUUAAACGGAUGAGAUUUGUUUGGAAAAUAAUGAAGAUUCAUAGUGUGAUCGAAACCUGAUCACAAGACUGAAAAAAUCUGGGUUCAACAAAAACUGUUACCCUUCAGUUUUAUGUUGUGGUUGAGUACUACUCGAUAAUAGUGAGUGAUAUCAUUUAUGGAGGACCAUCACAUGAUGGUCCAAAUGAGAAGUAGAUAUGAUACUAAAAAUUGAUGUAAGGUAAUGUCCCGUCCCAAGACCCACUCCAAGGGCAUGAAGGUCAUUUCACACCUCAAACCCAAAGGCUUAAAGUGUAACCUGACCCAAACAAUUAUCUUAUAACUGGAAGUUACCAAUUACCAAAUACCUGUUUAGAGUAGCAAAAUAAAAUUCUAAAAUCUUCAAAACUUAACUUUAAAACUAAGCAUCCAUCAACCAAAAUCCAUUUUCCAAAUAAAUUGCAAACUCAAACAAUUCAAGUGCUAACAAAAAUUUUCAUAAUCUCCAAAUCUCAACUUCAAACUAUCAAAAAAAAUUUAAAAGUUCAAUAUCUAAAUAGCUUCCAAAAACCAAAUAAUCCAAAUGAACAUAAACUUAUAAGCUAACAAUGUCCAAAAAUAACAUCCUAAGCAAAAUCCUAAUGAUGACCAUUCCCCGACCUAGCCAUCACUCAUCGCCCGAACUAAGUGUACCUGAAAAAUUAUCAACAAAAGAGAAUGAGCUCAAAGCCCAAUAAGGAACAUUAUUAUAGUCCAUGGAUCAAAUAUUUCAAGUUCACUUGUAAAAUAGGAGAUAUUAUAACUAAUUAUUUUCAUAAACCUUUGAGUCAGUUUUGUCAAUACAUUCAAAACUUUUAAUUGAACACUUUCAUUUCUGAUUCAAACAUUUUCAUAUCAAAUUCAGUCAAAACAUUCAAAUCAUUUAUUUACUUUGGUCAUCAAACAUUAAAUGAUGUCCAAUUAGGUGAGACUUUUCAAAUAAGUGGCUAGCCUCAAAUUGUUCAUUUAAGGUGGACGAAACCAAACACUACUAGUACUAGUAACCUCUAACCAAACCCCUAGAGGUUGGGGUCCAAAUCAAUUACAUUCCCCACCAAGAAAUGUAAAUGUCAACUAUUAUAUUUCGUCGACAAGGGUCAAACAAACCAAAAUCAAACACUUAUUUCAAUUAUUCAAAUUUGCAAAACAUAAUAUCUCCAUAUUUCUCUGUUGUGAACAAAAUGUAAGGUUCUAACAUACUUUUCAUGCAAAACAUAUUUGAUUCAUGCAUAAAACGAAUAAUAACUCAAAGCGUUUCCAAAUGAUGUAUAUAAAAAUUUGUUUCUAAAAAAAAAAAAAAACCUGCAUUAAUUUCCCUUACCUCAAAAGAAGUCUUCAAAAACUUAGGAGAAAAAUAAUUCUUAAAAAUCUACUCCUCACCUAACAAAGUAUAAGAGAAAUAACCAUUAUUAUUUAUCUAAAAUUAUAGGUUUGACAAUCCUAAAAGGUAUUCAAAUUAAUGUUUUUAAUUAUAAAAGAUAAUUUAAUCUAUUCCUAUUUUAGAAAAAUUAAUAAAUUUCUAAUUCAUAUAAAACUUAAAUUUUAUUUUCAAUUUAUUUCUUAGGAUACAACAUAAUUUAAUUAAACUACAAUUUAUUCUACUAAUUAAAUUUUAUGCCACUUAUUAACUUACACUCAUCAUUAGUAUAAUAAUAUUGAUAACUUCUAUUCUCUUUCUUUCAAUUUUUUUUUUCCACUAAACAUAAAUUGUAACCCUAACAAUUCUCCAUUAUUGCUAACAUAAUAAUGUAAAGAUAUUUAUUAACCACCAAACACCAUCCGUACACAUCUUCCUUUAUUAUUAAUAUUACUAUUUUUUUUCUUUUAAAAAAAAUAAAAAAUUCCUCCAGUGCAAGUGUGUUCUUUUUUUUUCCCCUAAUGUUUUCUAAUCCCUUAACCCACAUAUAAUAAUAUAUUUAUUUACUCAUUUAUUUAUUUAUUUUUAAAAAAAUCAUUACUUAGAUCUAUUCAUCUAAAAAAUUUUGAAUUUCCCUUAUUUCAACAAUAGAACAAUCUAUAUUCCCAAUUUCAAUAUUUUGACCUAAAAGUUUUAAAUAGGUUAAGUCUAGCCUAAAUUGAAAUCUUUCAAAGAAAUUUUUUUUUUUUUCAAAAACUUAAGAUUUCCCAAUUUUUAAUAAUAAAACCACCAAUAAUCCUAAAUUUCUAAUAUUUUGAUAUUAAAACGAAUUAAAAAAAAAACUAACCCUAAUCUAAAUUAAAAAAAUAAAAUUCAAAGAAUAACUAACGUGUUUAGAACUAACUAUUGAAUAUAAUAUAUUAAUUUAAGAUUAGAAUCUUACCUAGAAAAAAAACCUGAAUUUCAACUUUAAAUCUCUAACCCUUGAGCCCUACGAACUCCAAUUCUCUACUUCUAGUUAAUAGGGUUUUCUGAACGAAGAAGAAAAGAGGAAAAAUCCAAUUUAUACCUAGGAUUUUUAAUUGUAAAAUGACUCUUUCACCCUCAAUGAAUUUAAUUAAUUAUUUAAUUACUUUAUAAAUUACUAGUUUGCCCCUAGAUUAAAUUUUGGGGUGUUACAGGUAAUCAAGUAAAAGUUAACGAGUUGGAUCGAAACAGGUUCUGACUUUCUGUAGCUGCAUUUAGAAAUGAAGGUUUUACAGGUAAAGAUGUUUCAGACACUUCUUCACCAAAACCCAUGUGUAAAAGGAACAGAUUGAACCGAAAGCUACUUCAUUAUGGUUUUGUGGAGAGUUGCUUUUCUUGAGAAGUUCUAUAUAGGCUUUCAGUUACUUGUGACCUAUUGUGCUUCAAAUCAAUCAAUUUGAUUUUCGUGCCAGAAUGAAAGCAUUGAUUAUACUAGAAGUUCAUGUUCAAGUUUAAAGUAAAGUAAAUAUGCGAAGACUGUUUUUUGUUAUCAAACCUAAUUCCCUUUUUUUUCCUCCAUUUUUUUUUUUCUCAGCUUCUGAGUUCAUGAAAUUACAGUUACAUGGAAUUUGGCCCACAGGAAAUCUCUUUUAGAAAAUCUUAUCCGGUUUACUUCACAAUUUUUUUUUUAAAUGUGAAAAUUAAGAACAAUUGCAUGCUGUUGAUCAAGACAUCCAUGUUUAGCAAUUCAUCCUCUCAUUGAAAUAAAUGUAAAUGUUCCAUUUAUUUAAAAGUUUGCGAAUCUUAAGUAGAUGGCAAACAGAUCAAUAAGGUCCAAUAACAGAACAAAUUAAUGGCUAGUAUAUACUGAAAGAGAACUCAAGGGUAUAAAAUAAAAACAAAAUGAUCCAAACUGCAAAGCAUCAUGGCCAUGGCAAGGUCCUUAUUGUUGAACUGGAUGUCUUUCUUUGAUGUUAAUAGUCGUUGUACCCCCAAAAGAUCUUCCUGUUCCUUCUGAUAUCAAUUAUUCAUUCUAUCUAUCCUAUAAUCUGCACGGAAAACAGAGGAAUGUUAAAUACUGUAUGAAUGAUGAAAAUGAGAAAUGUGGUCUGUAUUAUUAUAUAUACUUACAUGAAACUAGAAGAGGCAAUUCAUUUAGUAAUAUGGUGGAGGAGGUGAAGGAGAGGAAGGGGGUGGUGACUUGUGGUGGUAGACUGGUGGUUGGGAUGAUGGAGAAGGUAGUGGUGGGGACUUAUAGUAAUAAGGAGGUUGAGGAGAUGGUGAUGGAGGAGGAGGUAAUUUAUAGUCGUAGUGAGGAGGGGGUGAUGGUGAAGGUAGUGGUGGUGACUUGUAGUAAUACCACGGAGGAAGAGAUGGAGAGGGAGCCAGAGGUGACAUCGGUGGUAGUGAUUUAUAGUAAUAAGGAGGCAGUGAUGAUGGAAAAGGUGGGAGCGGUGGCAGUGAUGAUGGAAAAGGUGGGAGCGGUGGCCGUGAUUUAUAGUAAUAAGGAGGUAGUGAUGAUGGAAAAGGUGGGGAUGCAAAAGUAUUAGGAUUGUGAGGCUCGUCUUCAGCAGCUACAUUAGCAGCAAUCAAGCACAAAGCCAAGGCACAAAUCAGGUGAGGCCAAAAAUUGGCCAUUUCCGGAACACGAGAAAAUUUCACUCCUGCAACUCAAGAACUUCUAUUUCUUAGAACAGAAGGGAUUUUGUGAAUGAUGCUUCAAGCUAGAGGCUCAGAGUUUAUAUAGUCAUCCUUUCCAUAAUUCUUUCAUUUGUUUAAUUAAUAGUCGUUGAAGCCUCC